UGCCUACGGGGGGCAGCAGUGGGGAAUAUUGCACAAUGGGGGAAACCCUGAUGCAGCAACGCCGCGUGAGUGAAGAAGUAUUUCGGUAUGUAAAGCUCUAUCAGCAGGGAAGAAGAUGACGGUACCUGAGUAAGAAGCCCCGGCUAACUACGUGCCAGCAGCCGCGGUAAUACGUAGGGGGCAAGCGUUAUCCGGAUUUACUGGGUGUAAAGGGAGCGUAGACGGUGAGACAAGUCUGAAGUGAAAGCC
rnacentral:rRNA from 1 species